rnacentral:rRNA from 1 species
GAUGAACGCUGGCGGCGUGCCUAAUACAUGCAAGUCGAGCGAACGGACGAGAAGCUUGCUUCUCUGAUGUUAGCGGCGGACGGGUGAGUAACACGUGGAUAACCUACCUAUAAGACUGGGAUAACUUCGGGAAACCGUAGCUAAUACCGGAUAAUAUUUUGAACCGCAUGGUUCAAAAGUGAAAGACGGUCUUGCUGUCACUUAUAGAUGGAUCCGCGCUGCAUUAGCUAGUUGGUAAGGUAACGGCUUACCAAGGCAACGAUGCAUAGCCGACCUGAGAGGGUGAUCGGCCACACUGGAACUGAGACACGGUCCAGACUCCUACGGGAGGCAGCAGUAGGGAAUCUUCCGCAAUGGGCGAAAGCCUGACGGAGCAACGCCGCGUGAGUGAUGAAGGUCUUCGGAUCGUAAAACUCUGUUAUUAGGGAAGAACAUAUGUGCAAGUAACUGUGCACAUCUUGACGGUACCUAAUCUGAAAGCCACGGCUAACUACGUG